rnacentral:rRNA from 1 species
AUGGCACGACGGAAGCCGCCGGCGCAGCAUGGAGCCCGGAGCGAGGACGGCCAAGCCCAGUCGACGGCGCCGCCGCUGAAGCGGGGGCCGUGGACGGCGGAGGAGGACGAGGUGCUGGCGCGGUUCGUGGCGCGGGAGGGGGAGGGGCGGUGGCGCACGCUGCCGCGGCGGGCGGGCCUGCUGCGCUGCGGCAAGAGCUGCCGCCUGCGGUGGAUGAACUACCUCCGGCCGGACAUCAAGCGCGGCCCCAUCGCCGAGGACGAGGAGGACCUCAUCCUCCGCCUCCACCGCGUCCUCGGCAACCGGUGGUCGCUGAUCGCCGGGAGGCUGCCGGGGCGCACGGACAACGAGAUCAAGAACUACUGGAACUCGCACCUCAGCAAGAAGCUCGUCGCCCAGGGCCUCGACCCGCGGACGCACAUGCCGCUCGCCGCUGCUCCCGGCAAGACGGCAGCUCCUACCGACAAGACGACGGCGGCGCCGACGGUCAGACCGCCGCAACCUCUGCCCCCGCCAGCGCUUGUGCUGCCGACCUCGUCUGCCGCUGGAACUGGACGCGACGGCCGUGACAACCCAGGCGACGGAGGCAAUGACGACCUCGCCGCGGCGAUGAGCGUCGACGCCCAUGACUUCGAAGGUUUCGGUGAUCAGCUUCUCGCCGACUACGCUGCUUCCCGCGGAGUCUUCAACGACGUGAUGGGGUGUCCAAUGGUGGACGACGACACCUUCACCUCGUUCCUCGAUUCCUUGAUGAAUGAGCGCCAGUUGGCUGCUGAUCACAAGGUUGGCGCUAUCUAG